UACGGAAGGGGCUAGCGUUGUUCGGAAUUACUGGGCGUAAAGCGCGUGUAGGCGGCCUAUUAUGUCAGGUGUGAAAGCCCUCGGCCUAACCGAGGAAGUGCGCCUGAAACUGCUAGGCUUGAGUACGAGAGAGGAGGACGGAAUUCCCAGUGUAGAGGUGAAAUUCGUAGAUAUUGGGAGGAACACCGGCGGCGAAAGCGGUUCUCUGGAUCGAUACUGACGCUAAGACGCGAAGGCGUGGGGAGCAAACAGG
rnacentral:rRNA from 1 species